CUUCCCUACUGCAGGUGCCCUGCAGUCACAUGCUUUUGUCAAAUGAUCUGCAGCUUCAGGCUGCUCCCUCUGCAGAGAAGAACCGUGGAAAACGAGAGAGGCAGAGACAGAGAAAAUACAGGUAUAUUCUGGGAACCUCGCAACCUCCCAAGCUUGUAAAGCCCAAGUGCAGCAUCAUCCCCACAGGGAUAAAACCAGAGAGAAGACCCACGUUGCAGGGCUCUUGA
rnacentral:lncRNA from 1 species